GAUGAUAUGAGCUGCAUUUAAAUUAAACAACAGACAGCACAUCAAGCACCGAGAACACCACAUUACCCCUUGAAGUGACAAGAGGUUUAAAAAGAUUGAUGCCUUUGAGCAUGGCAAGUUGGGUUCGUUACACAAGAACAACAUUUAAGAUGUGGCUACUGACAGUAGCUAGCUAUUCUCUAAGAAAAGUAGGACUCAAACUGGCCACUGUUUGGAUGGGAGACCUGAGAAGUAAACCAAAGCACUACAGGAAAAGAAGGACAACACUUCCUUGCACGAUGCAGAAGGACAACACUUGGUCAUUUGAUUUGUAGUUUAUCCAGCCAUCAAUCUCUCUGGAGAUACCACAUCAAAAGAUGUGCUUUUUGGUUAGAUUGGCUAAAAAACCCCUGCUCUGCUGCCAAGAAAGAAUAAAAACAGCUUCUCUCACCAGGAAGCAGAGCAAAGGUUUCUUUGAAAGCAAAGGAAUAAUCCCUGAAAUUGCUCAAGUGGGUAGAAAUGUGAUGUAAUUUAUGUAAUAAAGAUAAUUUGAGAGUUUGCCUCUUCUUUGGAGACUGAUCAGGAACUGUGUUUCAUUGCGAGUCUGCAUUAGAUGAAUAAUUAGCUAUAAAUAUAAAAGAGUGACCACUAACUAGACAGAGUUCAGACUAACUAAAAUUUGCAGUAAAUAAACUUUCAAAGAAGUCUGAUUUACAGGUUAAAACAACAAUUUAAG